rnacentral:rRNA from 1 species
AUUGAACGCUGGCGGCAGGCUUAACACAUGCAAGUCGAGCGGGGUGAUGAUGCUUGCACUAUCACUUAGCGGCGGACGGGUGAGUAAUGCUUAGGAAUCUGCCUAUUAGUGGGGGACAACAUCUCGACAGGGAUGCUAAUACCGCAUACGUCCUACGGGAGAAAGCAGGGGAUCACUUGUGACCUUGCGCUAAUAGAUGAGCCUAAGUCGGGUUAGCUAGUUGGUGGGGUAAAGGCCUACCAAGGCGACGAGCUGUAGCGGGUCUGAGAGGAUGAUCCGCCACACUGGGACUGAGACACGGCCCAGACUCCUACGGGAGGCAGCAGUGGGGAAUAUUGGACAAGGGGGGGAACCCUGAUCCAGCCAUGCCGCGUGUGUGAAGAAGGCCCUAUGGUUGUAAAGCACUUUAAGCGAGGAGGAGGCUCUUUUGGUUAAUACCCAAGAUGAGUGGACGUUACUCGCAGAAUAAGCACCGGCUAACUCUGUGCCAGCCGCCGCAGUAA